AAAAUGUUGGCCAAAGAGUCGGGUGGUUCCACCUUCGAUCUUCCCGAGGAAUUAUUGCAAGUAUUACCCUCCGAUCCUUUUGAUCAACUCGAUGUGGCCCGUAAGAUCACCUCCAUUGCUCUCUCCACCCGCGUGUCUUUACUCGAAGCCGAGUCUUCUUCUCUUCGAGACAAGCUCACCGAGAAAGACCAACAAAUCGCCGACUUGUGUGCCCAGAUCGAUGCUCUCGAGACUUCUUUGUCUGAAACCUCGAAUAAGCUCGUUAUGGCCGACCAAGAAAAGGUACGUUCCAUCUGGUUUGCUGUCUUUAAUUUGUUUCUUCCUUUUUUUAGAAUUUUAAUGAUUCAAUUGUCUUUCCUUUUUUUGUUCUUUGGUAGGAGAGCUUGUUGAAAGAUAAUGCUUCGCUUUCUAAUACUGUAAGGAAGCUUCAGAGAGAUGUUUCCAAGGUAAAUUGUUAAUUGGACCGGGGGGGGGGGGUUCACUAAAUUGUUAAUAGGACUGUUAAAAUGUUGAAGAGAAUUUUAUUUUUCAUGCAAAAUAAAGGGUUCCCAUUAAAUUUUUAUAACCAACGUGCAUUCUUAGAACCCUGAUAUGGGAAGGCAUGAGCAUUGCUUGAUGAUUUGGAAUGUUUUUCAUCUUGUGUAUUAUAUGUAUGUUGAAUUUUGAAAAUUUGAGUGUGCCCUUCAAUUGAUGUAUCUGAUCUAUCAAGGGCUUGUGUGGUUUGAGCUAAUUGGUGUUUUGGGGAAGUGGGAAGUAGUGUUAAGGGUUUUACUAGGCAAUUUAGUCUGAGGUUCGACUGUUAUGCGAUUGUGCAGUUGGAGGUCUUUAGAAGGAAGCUUAUGCAGUCACUUCAAGAGGACGAUGAAAGUUCUGUAAGUAAUUCCACUUCCAGGGAUUCCCUUUUAGAAUGAUGCUUUGAAGAUUUUUGACUUGCUAAAUCUUGUUUUCCAUACAGGCCACAGGGGGUCCUCCAAUCAUUGCGAAGCCAACACUGUCAGGUAUGUUUUUCUUUUUCCUGUUCACUCAUUUGAGCGCAUUUGAACUUCAUUUCUGUAGUGCAUCUGUGAUCUAGAUUGAACAUUCCAUGCACUAUUAGAAGUUGUCAUCCUUACAAUUCUUUGUCAGAUGCUUACGCUGCUUGUCAUUGCUUAUGAUGAUAACCCUUGGUAUCUUCCAAUUUUCCAGAAGAUGAUUCUGCCUUGAUUUCAAGAACUGCUUCAAUGCGCAGCCAGUACUCUGAUUCGGGUGCAGAGGAUCGUGACUCAGAUGGUACACUUCAGUCUUUGUUGGUUUUGCCAUAGCUGUAGAAUUUAUACCUAAAUAUGUCUCUUUCCACACACUGCACACUGAAGAUCUUUCUGUUUCCAUGAUCGCUACUGAGAGCACUGAAAUAUUUUAUUUCCCCCUUUUCUUCAUAUUGUCAUCUAUUUUCCUCACUGGGUACCAUUAUAGUGUCAGCCUCAAGACCUGGCUUACCUCAUGGCCUCCUGCUAGCAUCACAAACAAGCACACCGCGGCUAACUCCUCCGGGUUCUCCACCAAGUGUGUCAGCUUCUGUAUCCCCCACAAGGACAUCUAAGCCAGUGUCUCCUAGGAGACAUGCAGUUUCGUUUUCUACCUCAAGAGGCAUGUUUGAUGAUAGGUCAUC
rnacentral:lncRNA from 1 species